AUAUCACCUGUAUCUCUUUGAUACAAUUAUUUAAAUCAUGUUAACCUUGAAAACACUGAAUUUGUCUGAAGUAGUGUAAAAAUAUUUUACAAUAUUAUUAAUGCAGGUGAUUUAAUAAAAACAUAAAUACUGAAGCGUAAAUAUAAACUUCGAAUGAAUCAUAUAUGCAAGGUGAGAUAAUGUUCAAAUAACGAAAAUUUAAUUGUUUUUUGGGAAAAAAAAAUUACAUCUUGAGUUUAUAAACCAAUUGACUAAAUAUUGGAAUUGUGUCGUGUAUAGAACACGAUAGAACAGAGUAUAAAACGCGGGUAUUUUUUAUGCAAUUCAUCACUAUUCGUCUCAGUUGAGUUCGUCAGCACUUCAAUUGUACUCGCAGACUGCAAGAUGUCCAAGUACUUGAUUCUGUUGUUUUUAAUGGCGUUUAUUGCUACUGCGUAUGGAUGUAAAAGUAUUUUUGAAGCGUGUACUGAUAAUAGUGAGUGCUGUACUAACAGAUGCGGUUACACGCCGGUGUCAUCUACGAAGAUGUGUGCCAAAGCACUCAGUCCGAACUCCUAUUAGAAAUGUUGCAAAUGGAACACUUAGAGCCAUCAGAAGACCAGCAUGAACUCGAAUGAAUAUUUUAAUUCUUUAUAAUGUUAUUGAUCUAAGUGUAUUUGAAACAUUUGAUAUUAUGAGUUUAGUAAGUGUAAUAGUACUUAUUAAAAGAGAGCAAUAAAAGUACUUCAAUAGAAAUAA